rnacentral:lncRNA from 1 species
CCGGCCCCCUUAGACGGAGGUGGUGGGUCUGGCUUCUCCUGGGGUUCGUCAUAGGGUAGAAAGUGUGAGAAGCUUGGACUGACUUGGGUUCAAAUUUUGUCUCUCACACUCCAGCUGUGUGCCUCUGGGCUAGUGACCUCACCUCUCUGAGCCUUGGUUUUCUCCUUUUGAAAAUGGGCAAAAUAAUACAUUGUACAGGUUAUGUGGUGAAUCAAGUUAGAUUAUAGUUAGAGAGUACGUAGUGAGGUUCUGGUUUAUAGUAAGUGCUCCACAAAUCCAGCAUCUCACUUCUUCCCCCCAACAGAGCAGUUGGGCAGGCAGGAAUCAGAAGCUCAGAGAGGCAAAGGGACUUGACUAAGGGUGCACAGCAAGUGAGCAAAAAGUGGGCACCUACUUCCUUCCCUGGGAAUUCCUGUCAUCACUCUUGUGAAAGGGCCCAGCCCAUUUCCCAAUAGAAGGUUGAGGCGCCUGUCCCCUGCCUGUUCCCAGCCACUCCAGGACAAUGGAGAGGAGAGGUGAUUGUAAAGGUGACCACAGCCACCGAUGUUUUAGAGCUCCUGCAGUGGCCAGGCCCCAUGCUCUGUCAGUGCGAUUUCACUUCAUUCUCCAGACAACCCUGGGAAAUAAGAACUGCUAUUAUCCUUCCCAUCUGAGAGCAACAGCCAGCAGACAGCAACCCCAGAACCCGGGUGGAGAGAUAGGCUGAAUCCUUUUGGGAGCAGGUCCUUGAAAUGAUCUAGACUGAGAUUUUUGACCUGGGGUCCUUGGAGCUCCAUGAUGAACUUCAGUGGCCUGUGAGCCUCCUGAAAAUGUUGGCUACAUUGUGACUGGAUAUGAUCAAAGGAAGAAACUGAGGAUCAGAGAAGUCAAGAAAUUUGGACAAAGCCCCCUAGCAGGAAAAGUGGUGGAGCUGGAACUGGAGCUGAGAUUUAAGUGUCUUGACUCCCUGGAUUUCCCGGGAUGACCCUGAAUCUGCAGGCCCAUAAUCAUCUCUGAUUCUCUUUGCUGGGCUCCACCACACCAGUGGGAAGAUGAUAGAGAUCUUCAGGGACCUGGAGAAGAGGGAAGCAACACAGCAGGACCUAUCUUUAAUCCAGCAACAGGUUCCAGAAUGUUCCAGGUGAGGGAGGGCAGAACAUAGACCAACCAGAAUCCCAGGAAGCAAAGAGAAGGGAGGGCUUCAGACUAGAUGUGUACAUGUGUGUCUGUGUGCGUUAGUGGGCAUGUGUGUGUGCGUGCGUUUAAAGGUGGGGAGAGUUUUAUAUAGCAAACAGUGUUGCUUCCAAAAAUUAUUUGAGGUAGCUGCCAUUAAAAAAAAAACCCUGCCCAGGGGCUGGCCCGGUAGUGUAGUGGUUAAGUUUGUGGGCUCUGCUUUGACGGCCUGGGGUUUGCGGGUUCGGAUUCCGGGCGCGAACCUACACAUCGCUCAUCAAGCC